rnacentral:lncRNA from 1 species
UGAAGCUCUCCCCAUCAGCUCCAGAGCUCGGAGUUGGAAGGAUCUCCAUGAGGAAAACUGUCACCAAGAAAGUUUCCUCUGGAAGCCCAUGGUACGGCCCAGACCGUGUUAAGUACUUGGGCCCAUUCUCUGGUGAGGCCCCAAGCUACUUGACUGGUGAGUUCCCUGGUGACUAUGGUUGGGACACUGCUGGGCUUUCAGCUGACCCAGAGACCUUUGCCAAGAACCGUGAGUUGGAGGUGAUCCACUCACGGUGGGCUAUGCUUGGAGCUUUGGGAAUUGUCUUCCCAGAGCUCUUGGCUCGUAACGGUGUUAAAUUCGGUGAGGCUGUGUGGUUCAAGGCUGGAUCCCAGAUCUUCAGUGAGGGCGGGCUUGACUACUUGGGAAACCCAAGCUUGAUCCAUGCUCAGAGUAUCCUUGCCAUAUGGGCUACACAAGUUAUCUUGAUGGGUGCAGUUGAGGGUUACAGAAUUGCAGGUGGUCCUCUUGGAGAGGUCACUGACCCACUCUACCCCGGUGGCAGUUUUGACCCAUUGGGCCUUGCUGAUGACCCAGAAGCUUUUGCUGAGCUUAAAGUGAAGGAGCUAAAGAAUGGAAGGUUGGCCAUGUUCUCCGUGUUUGGUUUCUUUGUUCAGGCCAUUGUCACUGGCAAGGGUCCAUUGGAGAACCUUGCUGACCAUAUUGCAGACCCAGUCAACAACAAUGCUUGGGCAUUUGCCACCAACUUUGUCCCCGGAAAUUGAGCACUUGAAAAAGAAACAUGUUUGUUUUGACACAAGGUGUUUACAUAUUUGCACAUGUGUUGGCAAAAAACUAAUGAAAUGGUACGCUGCUUGUAUUUAAGUUUUAUUUCAUUGUACUUGCACUGUUGAUGUUGUGGACGAUGUCCACUUUGGAUAUACACUUCAAGAUUAAAUAUAAAUGUGAGGAGAUGAAUGUUCUCUAUUUUGUAUGCUCAAUGGAUAUUAAUAUGCAUAGUACUUCCAUUCUAAUUUUAUUGUUUUGUUGCUUAAUGAAGUCAAAUGUUCCUUCUCUAUGAUAAGGAAUGAUAUGUUUGAAAAUGUGUUUCCACAUAAAUUUAUCUUUUAUGUUUGCUAUCUAUCCAAUUUAUUUUCAUGCUAAAUUUCUUUCUCUAACACUACCUUGACAUUUCAUAAUUUUUUGGAGAUGAAUUUGAUAUGGUUAAAAUACAUUUUAACACCAUGAUGUUUGAGUCAUACCCAUUUUAAUUCUCCUGUGAAUUUAAGAAGGAAUUUAGAUGUUCAUAAAUGCAAAAAAGUUUACACCAACAAUACAUAAAUAUUAAAGUCUAAGUUAUAAAUUAAUUAAAAUAUAGUAUCUUAUGCUAUUUAUUCAUUUUGUUGUAUAUUUUUAUGUGAGCAAUUGUAUUCGUCUAAUUAAAUGAAAUCCAUUCUACACAGUAGUUUAAGCCUCCAUUUUGUAGAAUAGAAUUAGAGUUGAUAAAGAAGAUUGUGAGAGAUUUUGAAGAGAAGGAAUCUUUACCCUUUGGCUAAGUAGAGAGAAUAAGAGGAGGAAAUUAAAAUUAUGUGGGAUCCAUCAUCAACUUUUUCUUUUUAGUUUGGUGAGAAAGUGAUGAUUUACAUAAAAUAUCAAAAAUAUCUUUCAUUUUUUUCUCUACUUUUAAUUUUAAAUACUUAUUAACAUACAUAAGUCUAUUUUAAAUAUAAAAAUAAUAUUAAUUAAAAUUAUAAUAAAAAUAUUUAAUAAAUUUAUAAUUUAAACUUAGAACUUUUUUAAAUCAUAAUAAAAUAAAAUAAAUGAUAUAUUGUAUUUAUUUUAGGGAUAUCAUUAUCAUUUAAUGCAUGAUUUAUUUUUCUCAUAAUACUUUUUAUUUCAACCAAAUAAAAGAGUGGGAGAAGAAAAUAUUUCUUUGUUUUCUUUCCUUUUUUUACAUCUAACAAUACACAAAUUUAUUUUAUUUCUCAUUUUUUCUCUUUCUCCCCACUCUUUUACUCAACUAAUUUUUCUUUUAUUUUCUUCUGAAACAUUAAAAGAAAUUUCAACACUCUCUUAUUUUCUCUCCACUCUCUUAUUUUUUGGGGUAUGUAUGUACAAAAAAAAGACUGAAUGGUGUGAUUAUUUCAAUUAUGAACUUGAGGUUUGGAAGAAAAAUAACAGAAAAAGUUUUUUACACCACACAUCAGAAAAAUAUCAUUACUUCAAAAUAUGAUAAUACUUUCCAUUUCUUCUCCUAAACUUCCAUUAAAAUAUGAUUAUUGUACCAAAGAGAUUACCAGUCGCCUAUAAAUUCACUAAACCAACAUCAUCAUUGGUUUGUAACCAUCUAUAACUUCACUAAAACAUAAUAUUUAUACUCACACUAUAUCUGUUUUAAUAAAAUUAUAUAAACUACACCCCUCUUUUUUUCACCUAGAAAAACUAUUCUCAGAUAAUAUACAUACAUUAUAUGUACCACUUCUAUAGAAUAGAUGAGUUAACUUUUUAAACAAAAAUGAAAAUGAAUGAUAAAUAUAAUUAAGUUAAACUUUAAAAGUAUCAAUACAAUUUAAUCUUAGUUUCAGUAAUUAUAUAUCAACUAAGAUAAAUUAAUUAUUUGUAUAUUUGCAUAUUGAAUAUGAUUAUAAAAUUGUUUUUCUCUUAUGUAUUAUUUCUUCUCUAUGACUAUUAUCAUCAAUAAAUAUAUUUGUUUGUAAAAUAAAUGACAUCUAAAAACUCAAAUCCAAUCUCAAUAUACUUUAUUUUAUGGGUCUAAUAUAUAUGUAUUGUUAGUGUAAGUAUUUAUGCAUAAUCAGUACAUCGUUCAUCAUUUUUUUAUAUUAUUUUUUUAAAAAGUCAAUAAUAAUUAAUUAUGAAUAAUGAAUGAUAAAAUAUCAGUUUAUCAAACUCAUACAUUUUUUCUCUUAUUUUAUUCCAAACACUUGAAUUAGUUCUUGACAACUAAGACUUAAACCAACAAAUGAUUCAAACGAAAAAAUAUUAUAUGAAUCAUUAUUUUGAAAUGUAUUUGAGCCGACUAAAGAUAGAGUAGACACAUCUAGAUCAAAUAAAAAAUGGAUUUCGAAUAUAUACAUUAACAGUUAUUUAUGUUGUUAACAAAUUAUCAAUCAUUUAUCUAUCUGUUAACCAUCAAUGACUCUCAAAUAAAAGUAAUAUAAAUCUAUAGUAGACGAUGUACUGACAAUGUAAAAAACUUUAUACUAAUGAUACAUAGAUUUUAAACUCGUAAAAAAAUAUUUUAUAUAAAAAACUAAAAUUUUGUAAAUAAUUUAUUUUUAUAUUAACAAAAUAAUAAAAUAUUUGAGCUUAUUAUUCAAAUAUUAGUUAUUUUGUAAGACUAUUAUGUUUUUAAAUUGUUUAAAGAAGUAAUAAAGGAAGAGAGAUUUUGUUUUUUUGGUCUGACACAUUAUAGUAAGAGGAGCAAAAACAUAAUAAAUAGUAAAAAUUCAUUUUGUUUUAUUCUAAAACACAUUAACACUCAUAAGAAGAUGUUACUUAAAUACACAAAAGAAAAGAAUGAUUUCAUAAUCAAAUUUUAUAUGAAAAUUUACAAAUUAUCCAUUUUAUUAUAAGUAAGGUAUAAUUAAUUAAUUAAGAAUAAACUAUACCCACUAAAUUUAACUUAAUUAUACUUAUAAUACAUUUUUAUUUAAAAGUCAUACUCAUAUCAAUAAUCGGUUAACAUAUGUGUAUAAAUUAUGGCUGAUUUUUUCUCAAAGGGUCAGAAUAAUUUACUAUAUAUGUAUAGCAAUUUACCGUACAAUCAAUUAAAUUGGUGUAGUGUUGUAAAGUAUUGUUUGAUUCACACGAUGAUUAAAAUGUUAAGGAUUUGAUUUUUAAGAAUAACCAAAUAAUAAUAUGAUAUUAUUGGUAGUACCAAAAAAUCUCCAUACAAAAAUUUAUGCCACAUCACAAAUUAUUGUGAAUUUUUUUAUCCCACCAAUAGAUUAUCAAAUAUCUAGAAAGAUGAUGGGAGAAAUAUUUCACCCAUCCAAUAAGAGAUUGCCAUUUUAGAUUUUGGAUAGGGUAUGGGCUAGCAUGUGGAAGUGUACGUGUGGACGAGAAUGCUUCUGAACUUGAACCACACAAAAUGACGGGGGCCUUUAACAAACCUUCUAUUUUAUAUUUAAGUGUCUUAUUGUUUCUGAUCUGAUUUUUCAUCCUUCACCUUUUCUCCUUGUCACGUAUACUAUAUUCUCUUUAAUGCAUUUUCAUCUAUAGUAUACUUGUUCAAAAUAAAUUAUAAUUAUUAUAUAAUAGAUUAUAAUUAUUAUAUAAUAGAUUAUAAUUUGGAAUUAUAAGAUGAAUCUAUUUAUGUUUUAAUAUGCUUAUUUAUUUAAAAGUGAUUUAUGAUAAUUUUUUUUGCUUGAUUUUGUAAAAAAAAUCAUUAUUACUAAGGUAAAUUACGUAUAUAAAUAUAAGGAAGUAUAACAAUAAUCAAGUUUCCAUCGGUGAUGUAUAACCAACUAUAUGAACUAAAUGACAUGUAAGUUUUUCUAAUUAUUUCAUAUAGGUUUUUCUUGAUUUCUCAUAAAUUAAACUAACGCUCAUUUAAUCUUCUAUUCUCAAUGACACUUUUAACAACUUUAUUUAUACAUGUACAAACCAUCUAAACUUGUAAAAUAAAAUGUACCCAAACUUUUUUCUAAUGCAUCUAUUCAUCAGAAGAAAGUAGUGAGACUUGAGAGUGAAUGAUAAUCUUUAAGAAAUAUGUACCUCCAAAUGAAAGUACAUAAGAAAAAUAUUGAAUGGCUAUUUUCCUUGGAAAAAACUGAAAUUAUUUUUUACAAGUUUGUCUAACAUCUUUGAAUUGUGGGAAAUGAGAAUUUUUUUAAGGAAAAUAUGCUGCUUUUUUAUACCGAUAUAUAAGUUCAACCAAACAUACUUUAAGCAACUUUGGAGUACUAGAGAUAUUUUAAAUAAUUGAAAUAGGACACUCAAAUAAUACUUUAUUCGCAUUUAUUUUAGUUUUUGUUUAUUAUAUGAUUUCUUAUAGACAAUUUUUUUGACUCGGAUGGAGGGAUAUCCUGUAAUUGUUUGGAUUUGUUGGGAACAAGCGAACAAUCAAAUAGUAAAGAGUAUAGAGACAAGAGAAUAACACAAGAGAUUUGGUAACGAGGUUCGGCCAAUUGUACCUACGUCCCUGGGAGCGUUGAGCGGCUACCAUUAUAUAUUAUUAGAGAAUAAAGAUUAGCGUUUUACUAUUCUUCUCCUUGUUACAUUAGGUUUACAUAACAUCAAUAUAUAUAGCCCUCUACCCCAACCCCUUUACAUCAGCCCAAGCCCAUAACUUGUAUUGCUGUUAUCUAGAGAUAUGAGUCAUUGCACAACAAUCUCCACCUUGGCGAAUAUCAUCAAUCUCCAUCUUCCGCCAUUGGGUUGGGGGCGCUCCAUAGUCCAUCAUCAGUGAAUGUUCAACAAGCUCAGGCAAUGCCUGAACUUGUCCACAGUAACCGGUUUGGUUAACAUAUCAGCUGCAUUUUCUGAAGUGUGAACCUUCUGCAAUAGUAUCUGCCCACAAGCUACCAACUCUCUGAUCUUAUGAAAUCUCACAUCAAUAUGUUUGGUUCUAGCAUGAUACACCUGAUUCUUUGCUAAGAAGAUAGCACUCUGACUGUCACAAUGCAGCGAAACUCCACCUUGCUCAAUGCCUAACUCAUUUACUAGCCCCAUAAGCCACAAGGCUUCCUUAGAAGCUUCACCAGCUGCCAUGUACUCUGCUUCAGUUGUGGACAUAGCAACAACAGACUGAACUGAUGAUCUCCACAUAAUUGGUCCACCUGCAAGGGUGAAGACAAACCCCGUUGUGGACCUUCUAUCAUCCAAGUCUCCUGCAUAGUCCGAAUCAACAUAACCAAUAACUGAAGGCUUACUCUGUUGGCUACCAAACAUGAUACCGAGACCUGUAGCCCCCUUCAAAUAUAUGAAAAUCCAUUUGACUGCUUUUUGCUUCCCUGGUUUCGACAUGUACUUGCAUACUUGACUAACUGCUUGUGCCAAGUCCGGUCUAGUACAAACCAUAGCAUACAUCAAGCAACCCACUGCACUGGCAUAUGGAACCUUUGACAUGUAUUUCUUCUCUUCAUCUGUCUUUGGACACUGAUAUAGGGAAAGUUUGAAGUGAUUUGCCAAUGGAGUGCUCACUACUUUAGCAUUGCUCAUAUCAAAUCUCUCUAAGAUCUUUUCAACAUAGCUUUGCUGGGAGAGCCAUAGUUUUCUAGCUCCCCUAUCCCUGUGAAUCUCCAUCCCAAGAAUCUUCCUAGCAGCCCCUAAAUCUUUCAUGUCAAACUCCUUACCUACCAUGACUUUCAGCUCAUUGAUAUCACUCAAAUGAUUAGCAACAAUCAACAUAUCAUCAACAUAAAGUAACAGAAAAAUAAACGAACCAUCGUCAAGACUUCUCACAUAAACACAACAAUCAUACUCACAUCGUUUAUAACCAAGCUUCAACAUAUAAGUGUCAAACCGCUUGUACCACUGUCUGGGAGACUGCUUCAACCCAUAUAGAGACUUCUUCAACUUGCAAACCAAGUGACUAUGUCCAGCUGCACUGAACCCCUCUGGUUGUGUCAUGUAAAUUUUCUCCUCUAAUUCACCAUGAAGAAAUGCAGUCUUCACAUCCAUCUGUUCUAAGUGCAUAUCCCGACUGGCUACCAAGGCAAGCAAUACCCAGAUAGAAGUGUGUCUCACCAUCGGGGAGAAAAUCUCAUUGUAGUCGAUCCCCUUCUAUUGUGAAUAUCCUUUUGCUACAAGACGAGCCUUGAAAAUUUUCCCUUCUUUUUCUGAUACUACUGGCUUCCUCUUUUACAACCACUUCCACCCAACUGUGUAACGCCCCAAAAAAUACUAUUUAUUUAUUACACGGAAAAGUGAGUAAAUUUUUUUUCUUUUGAAUUGGUGACAUAACAUUGUUUCCUUUUAAAACCUUUCUUUUCCGGGACGUCACAUUAAGUAACAUAUAACGCGGAAAUCAAAACCGGUUACCUAACGGUAACUGAAAUGAUACAACAUUUCCUGAAUAUACAUCUUCAUAGAUAUAUAUCAUGGGUUAAGUCAUAGUCAGUUCAUACGGACUAGGUUAGUAAAGGCGGAAACUACAUCGCCACUAACAUAUACAAAAUCCAAAGAAACGCAGCCCCCACCAAAAACAAAAAAGGGGACAUCGAAUGGCCCACAAGCUGACUCAAAAGAUUCCAGGAAUGUUGGACCUCUCACUCGGGUCCUCCUCCUCUUCCGAGUCAGACACGAGGUCAAUCACCUCCACCGAGCUCUCUAUAUUUACAAGCUCAACGACCUCGUCCUCCUCCUCCUCUUCCUCCACUUCAUUAUGCCAUAACCCAGCGGCAUAAUUCGGAGGGGAUGACAUUCUCACAACCGGAGCCUUCUUGCAGGGACCUCCCCCAAGACCACUGCUCCUCUUGGCUCUACGAGAUGACGGAGCAUCCAAACAAUCUUGCCACGUCCUAUAACCGUGGGAGGGAACAGCGCCAUCACUCCUGACUGGCGAGUGUCGAAGUCCAACCUCUGGAGACAUCAGCCUCUUUGGCGGCAAGGUAAAGGAAGCAUCAAUAUGGGUGUCGGGAUGAGGGAUCAUCUUUGAUGACCCGUUGCACACCAUGUGCAAUGACAAACCGCAGGGGCCUGUGUAUGUAUAUAUUUACCCGUCACUAGCCCAUUGUUCUAUCGGGGACAUCGUGAAGUGAUAACCUCGAAUGUGAGUGUUGUUGUUGGCCAUCUGCAUAGCAAAUAUAUACAAGGCAAGAACAAUACAUCAGAGAGAGUAAGACAUCUAAUGAACGUAAAUUCAUUGAUGGCGUGGACUUACUCAGAAUAUCACACUCAGAUAUGAAAAGCAGUUCAUAUAUAUAUAUAUAUAUAACAUAUCACAUUAUAACUCAUCAGUUGUUCUCGUAAACAAUUAUCCAAUCCACAUGGGUAAUAUAACCAAACUCAUCAAUUGCUCUCAUAAACAAUUAUCUAAUCAACAUAUGUAAUGUAAACAACACUUAUUCCAGACCAUAUCAUAAUUCACCUUAUCAAUAUAUAAUUCAUCGACAAGAUAUCAUGACUAUAAUUAAAUAACACAUAAGUGGAGAUCAUACUCCAAAAGAUAACAUUCACCUAUAUUAUCUAUAACCGACAUCAUAACCUACCAUUUAUCAAUAUAAACAAAUGUAUCACAUAUAUUUCAUAAACAAAUAUCAUAAACAUAAGUAAUAAUAUAUGUGCAUAAUGUUAAUGAUGCAUGAUGUUUGUAACUCAAAUGUGGGAAUCCACUUCCACCACUGCAAUAUAUGCAUGCUCUGUCAUGAUCAUCCACCUUACACCAAUAUCCUCCCAAUAACCUAGUCGGAAAUAAAUCAAGAGUACAGGUCCCAUACCAAGCCACUUUUUACGCACCAAAAUAACAUAUCAUCGCAAGGAAUUAAAAAUAGAUCGAUCGGUUCCCUCAGGAACAGUCNNNNNNNNNNNNNNNNNNNNNNNNNNNNNNNNNNNNNNNNNNNNNNNNNNNNNNNNNNNNNNNNNNNNNNNNNNNNNNNNNNNNNNNNNNNNNNNNNNNNAAGCCACUUACGGUCAGACGAUCUCGCUCCGUGGUAUCAUGUAUCCUUUUCUGGGCAUCGCCCUAAAUCAUACAUCCUUCUCGGAAUACUUUCCUUAAAAUUAAUUACCGAGUUUGAUUAUUUAAUUCUAACACAUUGAAUACCUUACUUUUUAAUUCAAUUACGGUGUUAUACUAAAGUAGUUUAUAUCACAUUCCCAUACUAGGGUUAUUACAUACUCAACCAAUUAAUCCAAAUAGUCAAACACAAUUACUAUCUCUCGCCUAAGCGAUGACCUUUCUCUCAAGCGAAGAUUCAAUCAACAAUACCAUUUUAAAACUGGGCAUCUCUCGCUCAAGCGAUAAUUGUUUCUCGCCCAAUCGAUAUUUCAUCUUUAAAUCUCAAAUAAACUUAAGCCUUCCUCGCCCAGGCGAAGGUACUAUCGCCCAAGCGAGGCCUCUCCUNNNNNNNNNNNNNNNNNNNNNNNNNNNNNNNNNNNNNNNNNNNNNNNNNNNNNNNNNNNNNNNNNNNNNNNNNNNNNNNNNNNNNNNNNNNNNNNNNNNNCCAGAACCAAAACUUCCCCUCGCCCAGUCCCUCACCCAGUCCUCGCCCAAGCGAGACUUGCUCGUCCAAGCGAGAAGGACCUGGACAGAAUUCCAAUUUUGCCCUUUUCGGCUAAUCAAACAUAUUUUCACAUGGUUUUUCAAACACCUGCACACAGAAAAGUUCCCAACAACAUUCAUAUACCAUAUUCAACACAUUGCAUCAACAAUCAUAUAUAUUCAAAAGCAUUCAAACAUAAAAAUCUUGGGUUUCUUAAAACCCAAGUUAACCCCAAAACCUUUGAGAUGGUUUAGGAGAUCCGGGUGUCAUAUUCGGACAACACUAUCUCACGAUGUGUUCUCUCUCACCUUAAUGAAGCGUGCUUGACGAAAUCACUAUGGUUCGGUUGGGUUGCAAGGAUCAAAUGCCAGAAAUCUUCGUAACUACCAUAAUACAAACUCGUUAGUUUUCGAUAUUUCAAAACUCAUUACUAUUAAAAUACUUAAAAGUCUUUCAUCCAUCCAUUUUCCAACUUGUCCAAGGCCAUGGUUAAAGGCUUAAACAAGUAAAAAUUCAUAUAUUAAAACAAUGUAAUAACUUCUUGAAAACAACUUGUUCAUAGUUUCAAAACACAUUUUUCAUGAGUUCAAGAACACUCAUUUUCGGUUUUGCUUCCAAAAUGAGUUAGAAAGUGUUUUAGAAAAUUUCAACGGUUGAAUAUGUUCUUGACAUACUCAUGAACAAAAUACUUCAAUAUUAUCAACAUCCAUUGGUUGAAUGUGAAGAGAUUGAAGAUUGAAAGAAGAAGAAAAGAUGAUGAGAGUACUUACUCUUAAAUCUUCAAAUUGCCAAGUUUUUAACUUACUCUCAAAUCUUCAAAUUGCCAAGCUUUUUUGCAAAGUGUUAAUGCAUGAAGAUACAUGGGUAUUUAUAGAGUUGUGGGGUGGGAGAAAUCUGAUUUCUAAACCCAUUUCCCAAGGCAAUCUAGAAAAUCUAAGAGGGUAAGUGAAUCAUGGGUUAAGUGUGUGAUUUAGGGGAUUUGGUGGUAGUGAAAUCUAUAAGAUUUAGUAGGUAGAUUUAGUGAAUUGACUCAUGCGACGCGACGACUUCGGUGAAACGCGUGCGAUUAAAACCAUGCUCGAUUAUUGUCAGCCAAUAUCCGAGUAGCAAAAAAUGAUCGCCCGAUUUUACUUUACGGUUGGAACUUCGAAUUUCGGCAUUCUGAGUGAAAAUAUUCUAGAAAAUAGUUAUAGACCAGCUCAUGGUCUAUCUUGACUCGAAAUGUGAAUACGAAGCCAAUGGCGCGAUUGAAAUUUGAGCUGUACCGGGUGAAAAUUGUCCCCGACAGUGGUCUGAAACCGUCUGUCUCCGAAAAUCAUGAAAAUUUACCACCAAAUUGGAAAUAGAAUUUCAAGACUAAAACUCAACUGUAGUUUUGUCUAAUUCUUUACCGAAAAUUCCCAGAAAUUCAUUUUCGAAAAUAUAAUUAAUAAAAAUAUUAAUAAAAUCGUAUAAUUCAAAAUCAUAAAAUUCGCGGUGUUACAAACUGCACGCUUGUCUUGGGGAAAUGGAACAAGCUCUCAAGUUUGGUUCUUCUGUAAAGACUCCAUCUCCUCCAUCAUGGCACCCAUCCAUUGUUCUUUCUCCUGGCUGUUUAUAGCCUCUUGAAAGCUACAUGGAUCUCCUGAACUGAUAUUGAGAGCAACUGAAGCCAUAUCCUCAAAGACAUAUCUCUAUGUUGGUUUGAUAGGACGUCUAUCCCUGUCUUUAGCAAGUAGAUACUCCUGCACACCUGAGCUUUCUGCAUGAGAAUCAUCAUGUUCUUGACUUGAACUAGUGCAUGGUUCCUUGCCUUUAUUCACCUGAAUCAUUUCAUUGCUCACUAGAAUCAUAUUUGAUCCCAAAGUCUCUCCAUUUGGCAUGGGCACCUCUGUCAAAACUGACUGUUUCAUCAUGAAAUCUUCAUCAAGCACUACAUCUCUGCUCAACGCCACCUUUCUGGAAACUAGAUCCCAGAACUUGAACCCAUUCACACCUUUGGUAUAUCCAAUGAAGAUACACCUCUUUGACCUAUGAUCAAGUUUAGAUCGUUCAUCACGGGUACAUGUACAUAAGCAGGACAACCAAAUAUGCGUUACAUUAUAAUUGACUGGGUUACCUGUCCAUACUUCUUCUGCAACUUUACCAUCCAAUGAAGCUCGUGGUGAUCUAUUGAUGACAUAACAUGCCAUACUAAGUGCCUCUGCCCAAAAUCCUUUGGAAAGUCCAUCAUUCAGUCUCACACAUCUGAUCCUCUCUUUAAGAGUUCUAUUCAUCCUCUCUGCAACACCAUUCUGCCGAGGAGUCUUCAUCACUGAAAAGUGUAUCUGAAUGCCAUGUUCCUCACAAAAUUUCAAAAACUGUGAGUUUUUGUACUCCGUACCAUUAUCUGACCUCAUGUAUUUGAUUUUCCUACCAGUCUGGUUCUCUACCUCUGCCUUCCAAACCUUGAACUUGGCAAAGACUUCUGACUUAUGCUUCAGAAAAUAUACCCAGACCUUGCGAGAAAAGUCAUCAACGAAAGUAACAAAAUACCUAGAACCUCCUAGGGAUGGUUCCUANNNNNNNNNNNNNNNNNNNNNNNNNNNNNNNNNNNNNNNNNNNNNNNNNNNNNNNNNNNNNNNNNNNNNNNNNNNNNNNNNNNNNNNNNNNNNNNNNNNNAACCAAAUUCUUCUUCAAAUCUGGUAUGUGCCUAACCUCACAUAACGUCUUCACUACACCAUCAUCCAUCACAAUUCUGGGUUCUCCCAUACCAAUAAUUUCACAUGCUUUACUAUUUCCGAUAUACACGAAACCAAAAUUGCAUGCCCUGUAUGUGGUGGACUAUUCUCUGUUUGGCGUCAUAUUGUGGGAACAACCAGUGUCAAGUAUCUACUCAUCUGUACUAUAAUUUGAUGAUACAGAUAGUAGAUCAACUUCACUAUUGUAACCAGAGUCAUCUUUCUGUGCAACAUUUGCAGAUGUAGAUACUNNNNNNNNNNNNNNNNNNNNNNNNNNNNNNNNNNNNNNNNNNNNNNNNNNNNNNNNNNNNNNNNNNNNNNNNNNNNNNNNNNNNNNNNNNNNNNNNNNNNGGUGGGAACAACCAGUGUCAAGUAUCCACUCAUCUGUAUUAUGAUUUGAUGAUAUAGAUAGUAGAUCAACUUCACUAUUGUAACCAGAGUCAUCUUUCUGUGCAACAUUUGCAGAUGUAGAUACUCCAUCUUCCCCACCGGCUUGCUAGGACUCCAUUUAUUGGGACAAUCCUUUUUAUAAUGCACAGUCUGUUUGCACUUAUAACACUCUACUAGUGUUCUGCCCCUUGAAUUUGGUCUUUUCCAUUUGGCAGGACCUCCUCUGCCUUGUCUCCUCCCACACGCUUGACUCCCUUUCACAUACAGACCAUCACUCUGAGACCCUUCACCUACAUUCUGUCUUCUUUGAGUGUGGGACAGAAGUGCAGAUGUGAUCUCAUCCACUUUGAUUGAGUCUUUCCCGUAUGUCAAUGUUGUCACCAAGUGUUCAUAGGAAUUUNNNNNNNNNNNNNNNNNNNNNNNNNNNNNNNNNNNNNNNNNNNNNNNNNNNNNNNNNNNNNNNNNNNNNNNNNNNNNNNNNNNNNNNNNNNNNNNNNNNNUCAGCACAUUCCUGCAUCUUCAGGCCAUAGAGUCUUUGUUUCAAAUACAACUUAUUUGUUAGAGACUUAGACAUGAAUCACUUCUCUAAUGUCUCCCAUACCUCUGUUGGUGAUGUCAGAUCCAUAACAUGAUACAUCACCUCAUCUGAUAGACAGAGCCGUAUGGUUCCCGCAACCUUCUCCUUCAACUCUUCCCAAUCUAGUUGAUCCAUACCCUUUGGUUUAUUCUCACGCAGUGUCUUUGAUAGACCUUGCUGAGCCAACACAUCCUUAACCCUCCUUUGCCACAAUCCAAAAUUACUAGUUCCAUCGAACUCCCCCACCUCAAAUUUGGCACCUGGGUUAAGAGCCAUCUGAUACCAAUUGUUGGGAACAAGCGAACAAUCAAAUAGUAAAGAAUAUAGAGACAAGAGAAUAACACAAGAGAUUUGGUAACGAAGUUCGACCAAUUGUGCCUACGUCCCCGGGAGCGUUGAGCGGCUACCACUAUAUAUUAUUAGAGAAUAAGGAUUAGUGUUUUACUAUUCUUCUCCUUGUUACAUUAGGUUUACAUAACAUCAAUAUAUAUAUAGCCCUCUACCCCCAACCCCUUUAUAUCAGUCCAAACUCAUAACUUGUAUUGCUGUUAUCUAGAGAUAUGAGUCAUUGCACAACAUGAUUUAAACUUAAAUAUUCACAUAUCUCAUAACUUUAAAACUUUAGCAUGUAUAUGAUAUGAUGACACUACUUAACCACACUUGACAAUCUAAAAUAUUAUAUUCAGUAUGGACAAAAGUACAUUAAAAAUAUAAACUCCCUCCGAUAUUAUAUGAGGUAACUUAAAAAUUCUUGAUGAAAAUUCUAUAUCACAUUAUCAUAUAAGAUUUUGCUCAGAACAUUUUGUCAUGAAAUUUCAUGGGAGAAAGGUUUGCGUUUGGUUUCAUUCACGUAAUUAACAGCUAAUUUGACGGGUUGAAUUAAAUAUUAAUUUAUGAAUUAUCUUCAUAUCUAAAAAAUAAUUGACAAGAUGGGUGUGCUUAUUAAAAAACUCCUCAUAUUUAAUGUUUUCCUGGUCUCUCACAUGAAAUGAAAUAUAUUCGUUUCUUCAGUUUUUUAAUCAACCUUCAAUUUUUCUUCGUUUUAACUAAUAAGUAACAUUCCGUUCUAUAAUUUUUGAAAGUGUUAUGUAUUAUCAUUAUACCAUGGAUUAUUCAUUGAAAUUAAUUUUACAGUGUAAUAAUUAUACACAAUAGUGUAAAGAAUUAUACACUUUCAGUUAUAAUUUACCUUUUGUUUGUAUUACUUUUUUUGAAAAGUCAAAAAAUUGUUGAAAAUGAAUAGUGAAUAAUAAUGUGACAGUGUAAAAAAAUCUUACAACUAUGAAGGUAUAUUUCUCAUUUUUUUAAAGAGUUAACCAUUAUUAAAUAUAAAUAAUAAAUAAUGCAAUAAUAAUUAUAUAACUUAUUCGCUAUUGAUACACGUAUAUUUAUCUCUAAUUUUACAGUAAUGCAUUAAAUUAAUGUGGAAACAGAAGAUUUUAGGAGGUGAGGUCAUUAAUAGUUCCAAACAAAUAGCAUUGAAAUUGACAUAUCUGACAUCUGUUUAUUGCGGUCAGUAUAAUUUCAAUUUUGUGGCUCUCAAGCCAUGGCAAAAGAAGACAGUGAAUGGUAACUUCAUAAUUUAAGCCAUUCCCCUACAUGAUAUAACAUUAGCCAAUAGAAUCAGUACAUAUAUCUACUAGAAUCCCCAAGUCGGAUAGAACGCAGAAGAAUCUAAUCUAUUUAGUGGAUUAGAGGGGUGACAAGUGGGAUAGGAAAAAAUCUUCAACACCCAAUGAGAUUUCUAGUUUCAGAUGCAUGAGAUAAGAACACUAACCACUACAUGCCACUAUAAAUACCAACCCAUGUUUCCUCAGAUCUCUCAUCUUUUCCAAUCACUACUCCCUACAUAAACAUAAACACAAGCUCAUCACCAUCAUUCAAAAAUGGCAGCCUCAACCAUGGCCCUUUCUUCCCCAUCCUUGGCCGGCCAGGCGGUGAAGCUCUCCCCAUCAGCUCCAGAGCUCGGAGUUGGAAGGAUCUCCAUGAGGAAAACUGUCACCAAGAAAGUUUCCUCUGGAAGCCCAUGGUACGGCCCAGACCGUGUUAAGUACUUGGGCCCAUUCUCUGGUGAGGCCCCAAGCUACUUGACUGGUGAGUUCCCUGGUGACUAUGGUUGGGACACUGCUGGGCUUUCAGCUGACCCAGAGACCUUUGCCAAGAACCGUGAGUUGGAGGUGAUCCACUCACGGUGGGCUAUGCUUGGAGCUUUGGGAAUUGUCUUCCCAGAGCUCUUGGCUCGUAACGGUGUUAAAUUCGGUGAGGCUGUGUGGUUCAAGGCUGGAUCCCAGAUCUUCAGUGAGGGCGGGCUUGACUACUUGGGAAACCCAAGCUUGAUCCAUGCUCAGAGUAUCCUUGCCAUAUGGGCUACACAAGUUAUCUUGAUGGGUGCAGUUGAGGGUUACAGAAUUGCAGGUGGUCCUCUUGGAGAGGUCACUGACCCACUCUACCCCGGUGGCAGCUUUGACCCAUUGGGCCUUGCUGAUGACCCAGAGGCCUUUGCUGAGUUGAAGGUGAAGGAGCUAAAGAAUGGAAGGU